ensembl:lncRNA
CAGCCAAUCCCCGCGGCGCGAGCCCAGCUGGGGUGGUAAAUAGAGUACAGUAAGCGCCGGGCCGGAGGGGAGCGCAGGGGAAGGGGAGGGCUGGGGGGAGAGAAGCGGGUGGGGGUAGAGGAGGGGGUCGCGGACAGGGUGGGGGAGGGGGAGACCCCAGGAACCUAAAUGUGCAUCUUAAUCCCCUGUUAAUCCCAACGGCGAGGCCGGACUCUCUCCCUAAGGUGUCUCCCGAGGAAGCCUUCUACACCUCGGGGCUUUGAGCAUCCCUAAAACCACAGCCACCGAGGCCAGGUCUGCGCAGCGGAGGGAAAGCCACCACGGUCCCCUGCGCCCCACGGAAUAUCAGCAAGAUAGAAAGCAUUUCUGAAGAAAGUGAAAACGCACAUAAGUUUGCCGUCGCCAAGUGACGUCUGUAGUGUGAGUUGGUCUCUUAAGAUAAGGAAAAGCUUUGUAAAAAACAAAACCAAAAUCACCCACGCGCGCAUUCAACGACAGGUUUAGUGUGGGAUCGUGCAACUCGGAGCAACGCAGGAGGCGUUGUUGUAAACUCGGUGAAGUGAGUGCUUAUUGGAACCUGUGCUGAUCGCUGAGGAGCUCUGAGCGCAGGACGCUUUCUGGCUUCCUUUUCUAGAAGGAGGAAGGGCUAUCUAUGAUAAUGAUCCUACGAAGCGGAAAUCAUUAGGAGAAUUUGCGUAUGGAAGCUGUAUUUACGUACACUGCCUUCCGAGGCUGCCAGUCUGUCCUCUGCAGUGUAGGUGGCAAAGUAAGGUGAUUAAUUAUGCACAAGUCGUGAUUUCUGGUGUCACAUUCCAGUCCUACUGUAUUUUUAAAGCUUUGUGACAGAUGUUCCAGGCUAAGGGUAGAAUCGAAGCUGCAGCUGCCAGCCUAUGCCACAGCCACAGCCACGUGGGAUCCGAGCUGCAUCCUCAACCUACGCCACAGCCUGUGGCAACACCAGAUCCUUAACCCACUGAGCGAGGCCAGGGAUGGAACCCACAUCCUUGUGGACGCUGCUCGGCCCUCCGGAAACUUAGGUGAACGCCAGCUUGGAAUUUUGUCCCAUCCCCCUGCCGCGGGCCGAAUGAUGGUGUCUCCUCCAAAUUCAUGUGUUGAAGCUCUAACCCCCGUGUGUGGGUGUUUGCAGGUGGCCUCUGGUCUCCACGUCAGCAUCCGAAGCCUCUGUGUCCUGAAGGCGCAGUCCGAGGAGCCGGUUUGCCACCAAAGCUUAAAGCCAGGUGUCAAUAAACCCACUGGGGACCAGGCCGGAUGGACUUUGGAAGAAAAGGUGCUGCGUGCCCUUCAGCAGUUCCAGCGAAAGGCCCAUCAGUUGGUGCCUCGGUCCCCUGGGCUUCCAGCCAAGCACACCUGACUGGAUUAAUGAGCAUCUGGUUGGGGAAGAAAAGGAGCCAGAGGCGGCAGGUGAAAGUCCCAGUUGGAGCCGUGUGGACACUGCCUGGGAUCCUGGUGCAGGGGCUUGUUACUUUAUGAGGCCUGGACAUGGCAUCUGUCAUGUUCAUGGACCCAUAAUCUGCUAUUGCCAGAAAGGAGCCCCGAAGGGUCACUUUGCGCUGUUUUUGAAAUUACAGUUGAAGACAAAGGUCUCAGCCACUCCCGUCUCCCUGCGUCCUGAGCGGACAUCUGCCCUGGGAGUGGGGUUUGAGCUCGGCCAGGCACCCCUGGCCUCAGCAGAGAUGCUCUUGGAGGCCGGAGGAGAGGGGGAGCCUCUCACUGGGAGCUCGGGCCCCCCAGGGC